rnacentral:rRNA from 1 species
UACGUAGGGACCAAGCGUUGUUCGGAUUUACUGGGCGUAAAGGGCGCGUAGGCGGCGCGGUAAGUCAGGCAUGAAAUCUCUCGGCUCAACCGGGAGAGGUUGUCCGAUACUGUUGGACUUGAGGGCAGUAGAGGGUGGUGGAAUUCCGGGUGUAGUGGUGAAAUGCGUAGAUAUCCGGAGGAACACCAGUGGCGAAAGCGGCCACCUGGACUGUACCUGACGCUCAAACGCGAAAGCUAGGGGAGCGAACGGG